UAACAGCACCCCAAACGAACCCUAACACUAUUCCUCUUCAUCAAACGUGAACCCAGCUGGUGAGGACCAUUUUUAGCAAAAGAUUCACGCGUCUUCUUGCUCCCAGAACUUGCCUCACCAUUUCGGGCAAGAUAGUUAAUUGUCUUUGAAACGGUAACAUGAGCUUUUCUUCCUUUUUCAAUUUUCUUUUUUCAUUUUAAUCCCAUUUUCCAGCAAGGAUUCAGAUUUCAAACGAAAAUACUAGCCAAUUUCAGUUUCAAUUCAAGUCCCACAUCUAAUUUGAACCUCUCAAACCCUAGAAUUGGGGUUCUAUUUUAUAGAACCCCAUAUAUUCAUCUUCGAGAAAAAAAUUGAAGACCUGGAAAGAGGCUAAAACGAUUGAACUUGGACAAUUUUUGAUUUACAUCCAAAGGCCUCGAUUUCUUCAAAAACUCCUCCCAGUUCUUGAGUUUGUUUGAGUUCUAAUAUUUUCUAGUUCGUCGUAACAUUCGUCGUUGAGUCAAUAAGAAUUUGAAGGUAAUCAUCAACUCUCGUUGCCCCCAUCGCUGCUCGACAAAAAGAUUGUGUUCUUGAGAUUUCAUCCAGAUUACAUCUCUAGCUUGAAGCUAGUUUGCUUGAUCAGAUCCGAGGGUGAGCUUCUAACCAUGCCAUGCCACAUGAAGAUCUCACUUUCCAGAUGUCUAUUUUUAUUCCAGACAUUCUUUAUUAUUAUAUUUGAGAUAUACUUCAUUCUUUAGACAUUGUUAGUAAAGUCCUUGUACGAUGACUUUCAGAUCUUGGGGGUGUAAUAGUUAAGACGUCCGCACUUAUAUUAUCUAUUAAUUAUGAAUUUUUUUAUUU